AAAACUAUAUAAAGCAUUUCAGUGGGAUAAAAAUGAAAUUUCCUAGAGGAAUUUUAAGACACCAUAGGAGGUCUCAGGUUAAUAUCCCCAUUUUUUGUCCCCUGUUUCCGAAUAUGGCCCCGUAAAACCCUACUGUGUGCAUCGUGCCUUCCGUCUUCCAUUUGCAAAUGAAGCGUCUCAUCUUCCAGUGGUUUCCAUAACCCUAUGUUAUAUAUUGAAUGAAUUAGAGUUUCAUUAACAUUUCAGAAGCAGCGCAGAGCUGCAAGAUCGAAGCCAUUCAAUUCUGCCCCUUCGUUUCCAAAACCUCAGCCCCCUCUAUAAUCCACAAUUAUCAUUCAGGAAGCCUGCCUGAAAUCACCAUACCAGAUUUCUUAUGAUUUGGAGCAUUCAAAUUGGGCUUCCAUUUUUCAAACCCAGGUUUUGGAGAAAUUAUACAAAGCUAGAUGGGGUCUAGAGGAUGGAGUAGGUAGCAUUAUCCUGGCUCCAACUCGUGAGUUAGCAAACCAGCUAUUCGGUGUACUGAAAUCUAUCGGCAAGCAUCACGGGUUCAGUGCAGGCCUUUUAAUUGGUGGACACAAAUACGACGAAGAGAAAGAUCACGUGUAACGGAGAUGGAAAACGCGUGUUUGAUACCAUGUAACGGGAGUAAACUGUCACCGGUAAGUGCUUAACGCAGCGCUUGACGCGAAACCUGCUUUGCAUGAGUAACCAGCGCCAGUUACGAGCAUUCAGGAAGAGUUGUUGAUGGCAGAGAGAUAAUGGUUCAGUUUGCCAAAUACGGGCCAGAUGUUGAAAGAAUGUGAGUCGAGUAUUUGGUAAUUUUGCGUCUGAAUUAGCAUUUUACGCGAAUAGGAGCGUUCCCAAACGCUAAAUCAGUCGGAACUUUCCCAAAACGUGAUUUUAUAUGAUUUGUAACGAAUUUAAUGAAAAUCGCGUACGGCCUGUGUUUUCUGGUCCGGAUCG